rnacentral:rRNA from 1 species
CCUACGGGUGGCAGCAGUGGGGGAUAUUGGACAAUGGGGGAAACCCUGAUCCAGCGACGCCGCGUGAGUGAAGAAGUAUUUCGGUAUGUAAAGCUCUGUCAGCAGGGAAGACAGAAAUGACGGUACCUGACCAAGAAGCCCCGGCUAACUACGUGCCAGCAGCCGCGGUAAUACGUAGGGGGCAAGCGUUAUCCGGAAUUACUGGGUGUAAAGGGAGCGUAGACGAUGAUGCAAGUCUGGAGUGAAAGGCGGGGGCACAACCCCCGGACUGCUCUGGAAACUGUGUAACUUGAGUGCAGGAGAGGUAAGCGGAAUUCCUAGUGUAGCGGUGAAAUGCGUAGAUAUUAGGAGGAACACCAGUGGCGAAGGCGGCUUACUGGACUGUAACUGACGUUGAGGCUCGAAAGCGUGGGGAGCAAACAGGAUUAGAUACCCGGGUAGUC